rnacentral:rRNA from 1 species
UACGUAGGGGGCAAGCGUUGUCCGGAAUCAUUGGGCGUAAAGCGCGCGUAGGCGGCCCGGUAAGUCCGCUCUGAAAGUCCAGGGCUCAACCCUGGAAAGCGGGUGGAUACUGCCGGGCUAGAAUCCGGAAGAGGCGAGUGGAAUUCCUGGUGUAGCGGUGGAAUGCGCAGAUAUCAGGAGGAACACCAAUAGCGAAGGCAGCUCGCUGGGACGGUAUUGACGCUGAGACGCGAAAGCUAGGGGAGCAAACGGG